GAUGGAGAACGCAGCGAAAUGCGAUAAGUAAUGUGAAUUGCAGAAUUCAGUGAAUCAUCGAAUCUUUGAACGCACAUUGCGCCCGCCAGUAUUCUGGCGGGCAUGCCUGUCCGAGCGUCAUUUCAACCAUCAAGCCCCCGGGCUUGUGUUGGGGACCUGCGGCUGCCCGCAGGCCCUGAAAACCAGUGGCGGGCUCGCUGUCACACCGAGCGUAGUAGCAAUCACCUCGCUCAGGGCGUGCUGCGGGUUCCGGCCGUUAAACAGCCUUACAAAACCCAAGGUUGACCUCGGAUCAGGUAGGAAGACCCGCUGAACUUAAGCAUAUCAAUAAGCGGAGGA
rnacentral:misc_RNA from 1 species